GAUGAACGCUGGCGGCGUGCUUAACACAUGCAAGUCGAACGAAGCUGCUUAAAGGAAGUCUUCGGAUGGAAUUUAGGUAGACUUAGUGGCGGACGGGUGAGUAGCGCGUGGAUAACCUGCCUUAUACAGGGGGAUAACGGAGAGAAAUUUCCGCUAACACCGCAUAAGACCACAGCACCGCAUGGUGCAGGGGUAAAAUAUUUAUAGGUAUAAGAUGGAUCCGCGUCCGAUUAGCUAGUUGGUGAGGUAAAGGCCCACCAAGGCGACGAUCGGUAGCCGGCCUGAGAGGGUGAACGGCCACAUUGGGACUGAGACACGGCCCAAACUCCUACGGGAGGCAGCAGUGGGGAAUAUUGGACAAUGGGGGAAACCCUGAUCCAGCGACGCCGCGUGAGUGAAGAAGUAUUUCGGUAUGUAAAGCUCUAUCAGCAGGGAAGAAAAUGACGGUACCUGACUAAGAAGCCCCGGCUAACUACUG
rnacentral:rRNA from 1 species